rnacentral:lncRNA from 1 species
AACAGCAGCUCUGUCCUCCCCCAGUGCUCAGCAGGGACUUCUUGGUGACCUGUGCCAGCCUGGAACUGUAAAUCGUUCAUGAGCAAAGUUGUUCCUGGUGUUUGCGCUCCGGGAUCAUGAAGAGGUCCCAGAAAACCUCUUCAUUCUUUUCCAGGCCCUUCAAACACUGAGCAAGGAGACCAAGAGAGGAUUUCAGUGUUGGUAACAUCUGUAACUUGCAGCUGGGCUGACCCCCACCAUCAGUCCUAAACAAGACUCUUAAAUUAACUGUGUGUAUUUUGGAAUUUAACAAAAUCCUGAGGUUUUCCCUCACCAUUUUUGACAAGAGCCUGAACACAGUAGCCCUGAAUUGUCUGGGUAAUGCUUUGCUUUGCUGAGCUUAAAAUAAAGUCACUGAUCGAGGGAAUUUUCACUCCCUGUUUGACCAAACCCUUCUUUCAUAGGCAGUAGAGAGAAAUCUUAAAGAUUUUCUUUUCUUCCACAGUUCUAAAAGGCCAGUUUGUAGAUAGAGUGCAAAUAUAGAUCAGAUGGAUAUUCUAAAGCCACAUGGCUCUUUUUGUAAGUUGUUCCUUUAAUGGCAACAGAAGAGCAAAUGUUCUCAUGAAGUAUUCACAGAAAGUGAAUUAUUCUGAAGGACAUUGUAUAUCUUAGGAAGUUGUGCACAAAAUGUAGAGUUUCUAAAUAAAAUAAUUGUCUGGGGUCCUUACACAACAUCAGAUAUUAGAAACCUGUGAUUGAUUCAUGGUAGUAGAAAUCAAGUUACUGCUAAUCUAAUUAUUGUCCUUGCUGUUACUUUAAGAUGACCACUUGCACAUUUAUUGUUGAUUUUUGUAACACCCCAUAGAAGCUGCUUGGUGCACUCUGGGAGAAUUUGGGAUAAACAGAUACCUGAAAUAUCUUGAAGCCUAGUGCUGGGAAAGGAAUGGAAAAUGGUUUCUUCUAUUUUUAUGUAGUUCUCCACAUCUUAAAGCAAAUACUCAGUGCAUGAAUGAUCAUAAUUGUUGUUGUGCAUUGGCAGUUGUCAGCUGGGAAUGCACAGCUGGAACAGCUGCAUGUGCAAGCCAGGACCAGCUCAGGUUACUGGGGAGUAGCCUGGGGGCUGAAGAGCAAGAUCAUGUCAUGUUAUGUUGAGGAGGAUUGAUGUACCAUAAUGUCAUUUUCUAAAAAUACAGGAUUCAAUUUUACAUUGUGGUAUGCACAAGGAAUGGAUCAUUUAUGUCUUGGCAUACUUGAUGUUGCACUGCCCAGUGGAAGAAAACUGUCAUCCCUUUUCUUCAGAAAAUGGCACUUCUGUCUCUUCAGUGAAAUGUCCUUAAUUUUCAGGCACGGUAGUGGCUUCACUGUAGUGCUCUUAAGUUUGAAACUAUAUUUCUCUUGCCCUAUGUGAUGUCCUGAAAUUCCACAUCCUGAGUUCUGUUUUCUAUAUAAAGUAAGUGAGGAAAAAAGUGCAACCAAAAAUCCCUCUGUUUGAAAUUAAAGCCCCUGUAAAAAAACACUCUGAGGCUCGUGUUUGUUGUGGCUGGGUCACAGCUGCACUGGUGCUGCAUUGGUGCUGCACAGAGCCUGGAGAGCCACUGUGCCAUGGUUUGGGAAUGGGGAGGUAUCCCUGGCCCAAGUCCUCAAAUGAGCAAGUUGAGAAGUGGCAGGUGAUGAGUGAAAUUCAGUUUAUGUGUUUGGGAUUUUGAGAAGAUCAGCUUCACAGAACAGAGUAAUUGUGUUUCCACUGCUCAAAUCUGCUGAACUAUAAAAAUUGGUUGAUUAAUGGGUUGGGGUUUUUUACUGAAUAAAUGAAGACUAUUUUUAAAAUAACACAAGUGAGAGCCAGCUAGGAAUCUUGCACGUGGUGCUCCAGUGAGCACGCACCUGCACGCUUGCCGAGUGACUGUGUGCCUGUCACUCUGCCAUUUCCUGUGGCUUCAGUUCCUGUUCAAGAACUAAUUUCACAUUUGUACUUGAAGAGUAGAACUUCAAAACCUUUACUGAACUUCCACAUAGAUCUCUUUGCCUCCCAGUCCAGGCCUGAGCUUGUCCUGAAGCCUCUGCAGAGUGAAAAGUACAAAAGGGACGCAGGGUCUGUGAGCACAGAAAUGAGGUUGCUUUUCCUUGGAGUAAACUUGAACUUUGGAUCUUUCCUCCUGUGAUCUGUCAUUAGAAAAUGGCCUUUUCCAGAGAGGAAAACAAAAGAAGUUAAGAAAACAAAUGAAUUAAGAAGAAUUAAUUGAAGCUGUGUAUUACAAGUUGACAUUAUACAUCUGGCAUUUCUGUUUAUGUUUCUGCAUUGGUACAUUUCAUUCUGAUUUAAUAAGUUCCUAAUUUUGUGGGAUUUUUUUUCAAGAUUCUGAAGUGCCUAUGAAGAACAGCCCAUAGUAAAGUAUUGUUCCCAGUUUAGCUGUACUUCAUUUUUUUAAUCAAAUCUUUUUCUUUAGUGGAUAAACUCACAAGAUUAGAAAAGCCUCUUGAACUCCCUCAUGUUUAGUUUGGCAAAUGUCCCACACACAAUUACCCACAGAGAGCUACUUUUAAAAGACCGUUAUUGGGGCUGUACAAAGUCAAGCACUCAGGAGGUAGGAAAUGGCAGAACCAGGUUUGUGCUCCAUGAGUUUGGGGAGUACAUUGCAGUGUCUGAUCAUUUCAUGAUCAAAAAUUGAGCUGACACUGCUCAGAAAUUGUCCAAAACUGCCCAGCCUUAUGAGCCUGGACUUGGAGAACCCCAAUUUCUCUCAAGUUACAUAUAAAUAGGUUUUUAAAAGUUGAACUUCCAGCGUGGCACUGUGGUGUUGGGUGUAACCCGUGUGUGUGCUGGGGGAAUUCUUUGUGUUCUGUGUGUGGAUCCCCGUUCUUGACCUGAGCUCCUGGCGUGGUGGGGAGGAACUCGAAGCUGAAACAGCAAUUUCUGUUUCCACAUUUCACUGGGAGGCCACACACAAGUGUGAUUGGAGCCAGGAAUCUCUGCCUCGGUGAGAGCCCAGAGGAGCAUUUCUGUGGGGGCUGGAGGCUCUGUUGCCCAAUCUCCCUCCUGCUCUGUUCUGCCUGAGCUGUCAGAUCUCACUCCAUUCCCUCCCUCAGCGCUUUGGUCCAGGCCAAGUCAUCCUUGUUCCUUCCCUGCUCCUUGGCAAGGAAAGCCUUGUUCAGCCGAGCAUCUUUCAAUGGCUUUUCUUCCCUGCUGCCUCUUUUCCAUCUGGGUCUCUUUCUUCCAUCACCCUUCCAGGCUUGCUCUUCCCUCCUGCCUGUCCCAGCCGCUGGCCCAGGGAGCCUGGGCUGCCUGGCAGGGCUGUGCCUUGGCAUGGAGAUCUGAGUGCUCCUGGAUGCCUUUCCCCAUCCCACACAGCCACUCACCUCCUGCUUCCUCUUUGUUUCUCGUCCUCUUCACUCUUCACGGAGUUUGGAGCAGCAAGCCUUGUCACCCAUCUCCUUUCUGUCUCCUGCUUCCUCCUGCUGCUCCAGUGCAGUGGAUUUAUUUAGUGUGGGACACACUUUUAUAUUCCAUGUGGAUUGUUUCUCAAACAAAGCAGUAGCACAAUGAUGUUUUUUUGUUUCAUUUUAUCUGGGAAAUCUAGAAUGCAUAAAUUUGAACAGGGAGUCAUGAAGGUGGUUAAUUGGAAAAAGAAGUUGCUGUUAAUUGAGCUGUGUGUCAGACCCAGGACUUUUUGUCUGGCAGACUUGGCUCACGCUUUAAAUUUCUGCACCUGCUAAAGAAGCAGAAAAUUGGAAAGGCAGCUUGUCUGAGGAGAUCGUGAUAUUAAAGAAGGUACCGAAGGCUCAGUCACAGUGCAGGAAGCCAGAAAAUUGUUUAAGAGACUUGGAAAAUUAGUUUAUUUUUGCUUUUUGGAGUGGUUAAAAAUAAUUAAUCUUUUAAAAAAUUAUUCUAAGAGAAGUGAACAUGGAAGAGUUUACUAAGAUACAUGUGCCUGUUACCAUCAACUUCCAGCACAUGCUGGUUUGGGUUUUCUACACAGGGACAGUAAAAACAUAUUUAUUUGUUUUGUGGUAGAAAGGAAUUCAAUAGUCAGGAUUAAAGCUCCUGGUCUGUAUCCUAGACCUGCUUUUCUGAAGCACUGUUAGACAUGAAGGAUGAAAUUAUUUGGUUUAUCUUGUUUAUGCCAGAUAAAGAUAAAUGAAUGUCAGAAAUGAGGUUGGGAUCCUGAUUGCAGUGGAGCUCAGAAAACAGCCAUGUGAGCUGCUAAUAAAUGUAAUUGGUGCUUCAAAAGGGCAUAGCUGAGUGAAUUUCAUAUCAGAUCUGGGAGUGGGGAGGAAAUUAGAUGAAAAACUGAAGUAGAAUUGACAGUUUUCUAACUGAAAGGUAUUAAAUGGCCAAAAACACAAUAAUUUUGCAAUUGAGAAGGGGGACAACUUUGGCUAACUGCCCAUCCUACUUCAGUGAUGAAAUGAGGGGAAAAACUAGAUGGAAAGUAAUACAAAACAAAUCAGAAAAAGGGAAGCAGACAGCAAUCCAUUCAAAAUGGGAGUUAGGAAAUGUAGAAAAUAAAGCACAACCCAGAGCAAAAGCAAAAUGUGGGUUGGGGUGCUUGGAGAGGGUGAUGAGGAGCUGAAGUUCAGAGGAAAUAUGCAAUAGAAUCAGAACUGUUAAGGAAUAGAUGCAGGAGGCAAAAUCUAAGGAUGAUGUAAGAGAGCUGGAAAUGUGAUGUCAUUCCUUAGCAAUGCUCAGGAUUAAAAAUUAACAGUUUUUAAUUCAGGAGGCCCAGAAACCUUGAUCAGUGUUUGCAAAGGAGGAGUCUGGGGCAAUGUCUGAGCUGCUGCCGGGGGUGGACAGUGGGUCAGGACAGUGGGACACCGUGGAAAGGGCUGGAAAAGGAGAUGGAUGUUCCUGACAGGGCUUGUUUUAAAUCCUCUUCAUUCAGUAUUUUGGGUUUCAGUUCUCUUUGGGAUCAGAGUGAGCUGGGUCUGUCAGGGCCCUGCAGAGCUCUGUUCCCUGACAAUCACACACGGCUGCAGCUCAAAGAGAACCACCAUGAAAUGGGGAUGCCCAAAGAAGGGUUCUGCAGGUACCUGGCAGAUUCAGUGGUUCCAGAUCACUGAGGAGCAGAUAGACAAACUCACUGCUGAUAAAACAUUACAGAAAUAUCCAUAGCCAGGACCAGAAUGAAUAACAGCUCCAUGUACAUUCCCAGUGCAGUCCCAGGGUAAAAGCCUAAUGAAUACGAAUGUGUUCUUAUUUUUAAUUACUGUUAGCUGUAAGUGAUUAUCCUUCUUUAUGUCUCAGCUGGGAGAGUUGGGAAUUUUGGAUGCAAUUUGGAUAUUUACAUUCUACAAGAGAAGCUGAGUAAUUGGAAUGGAUGCAAAAAAUAUGAUUCAGAAAUUACUGGUGGAGUGUGAAAAUGCCUUAGAGAGGGUGAGAGAAAACUCAGUUGGCUGAGUUUUUCUACCAGAACUGAGACUGUCUUGAUUCCAGUGCACUAGUACCUUCACAGGCAGAAAAUACUGCACACUGCAGCUCUCUGAUCUUAAAAAGCAACACAAGAAUCACCAACUGGCAGUCAAAGCCAGGCAAAUUCGAAUUGGAAAAAGGCACAAAUUCUUAAGAGAGAAUAACUGUGUAAUUUAGGAAUGUGUCUUCAAAAACUGUGAACAGAACAAUAAAAGUUAUGAUAU